rnacentral:misc_RNA from 1 species
GAUGAAGAACGUAGCGAAAUGCGAUAAGUAAUGCGAAUUGCAGAAUUCAGUGAAUCAUCGAAUCUUUGAACGCACAUUGCGCCCCUUGGUAUUCCGGGGGGCAUGCCUGUUCGAGCGUCAUUAUAACCCCUCAAGCUCAGCUUGGUGUUGGGGCCUGCCGACUGGCAGCCCUUAAAAUCAGUGGCGGCGCCAUCUGGCUCUAAGCGUAGUAAUUUCUCUCGCUAUAGAGUCCCGGUGGAUGCUUGCCAGCAACCCCCAACUUUCUAUGGUUGACCUCGGAUCAGGUAGGGAUACCCGCUGAACUUAAGCAUAUCAAUAAGCGGAGGA